rnacentral:rRNA from 1 species
UACGUAGGGUGCAGGCGUUAAUCGGAAUUACUGGGCGUAAAGCGUGCGCAGGCGGUCUGCUAAGACAGGUGUGAAAUCCCCGGGCUUAACCUGGGAACUGCGCUUGUUACUGGCAGGCUGGAGUGUGGCAGAGGGGGGUGGAAUUCCGACGUGUAGCAGUGAAAUGCGUAGAGAUGUGGAGGAACACCGAUGGCGAAGGCAGCCCCCUGGGCUAACACUGACGCUGAGGCGCGAAAGCUAGGGGAGCGAACAGG